GACCUAAACCGUUUUUAACGGCAUGGUCAAAAAACGUUCAACGCAGAAAGCUCCUCGUCAGAGCACGCGUUGAACGUUAUAUGGGGAAACCUGUAUAGGUAAUCGCAAGAUUAUC
rnacentral:sRNA from 1 species